UUGAUGUCCACAUAAGGUGCAUCGCUAGUCAUCAUUGCGAUAAUAUCCUCCUCUGCAUCUAUUGUUACCAACCGAUCCUCCGAUACCAACUUCACCUUCUGAUGUAAUGAUGAAGGUACUGCCCCUGCUGAGUGUAUCCACGGUCUCCCCAAUAGACAGUUGUAGGAGGGUUUAAUAUCUAUUACCAAGAAAUCCACCUCAUAAGUGACUGGGCCAAUCCUUAAUGGUACCUCAAUUUUCCCCAUAACCUCCUUUUUUGUUCCAUCAAAUGCCCUUACUAUG
rnacentral:lncRNA from 1 species